UUAUCCCUGCUGUGUGCGUGGUUAAGCUGGUGGUGUUAUUGACCCAACACCAUGACAAAGGGAGCUUAGCUCUCUCUGUGGGAAGCAGGCCCGGCGCGAAUCCGGGAAGCGGAAAGCAGAGAGGCGGGCACCCACCUGCCGAGCGCGGGUUCAAUGCAAACCAGUCGUAACGGCACAGCGGGGUCUU
rnacentral:other from 1 species